rfam:Bacillus vietnamensis strain TCD-SED5 scaffold_5, whole genome shotgun sequence.
UAGAAUUAAUUUUGGGGUGGUGCAGUAUUCUAGUCAGUCCACCAAUCCUGAAGGUGGGCCUAAAAAUCCACUAAAGGGCACAUCGAUGAAGUUCCUGGAAUUGGCUUGAGGCGCCCAGCUUUGGGUCAUAUCUGGGAGUAAGGCUUGAGGGCGAUCCACAAUGGCAUGUGGGCGUUGACCCGCGAGCCGCGGAGGCUUUGUUUCUUAUGCUGGCAUUAAGCAUAUGCAAUAAGAACAAAGUAUGAACCUGCGAUGUGAUGAUUCACUAGCAGCGUAGCCUGCCUUGAGUGAAGGGUGAGGGGAUUAUGGUUACAGGGUACACAUCAGUUGGCCAUUGAUAUGUGCUUUUUCGCCCAUAUGAAAUCCUCUUUGCAAAAGAGGCUAAGGAUUGCGUUAAGGACUGUUGAGGAAAACUCCUAGACUGUUCAUAUUCGGACAUAUAAAGAGGAUUAUAGUGCGGACUAAGUGGUAAUCCAGUCUAGCUUGUGGUGACGCGGCUAAGUCGGGUUUAAUGGGAAACCGCCGGUAUGGCAACAUCCGGUACCUGAUUGGGAAAACCUACUGGACCUAAGCUGCAAUUUUUACUCUUUAUAUGACCCCCCAAUUACAUAUAACC